CAGGCUGUGCCACGUGUCCCUACAGGCAGACACCCAUACUGGGUGGCUCUGUCUCAUUUCUAAAGAGGGGCCCAUUACUCCUGAGCAGCUCAGGAGCACCAUUGACUUUUUAUGGCCCUCCCUCCAGGGCACAGGGGGAACAUCCAAAUGAAAGAAAUGUUUACUGAGCACCUACUAAGUACGAGGAUCCAUUUUUGGACCAGUCAUCGUUCCUGCUUCCAAACGGAGAGACAGGAUAGGUAAGCAGCAGGCCUUAGGAGAAAACCAGGAAUGGGGAAUCAGCAAACCGGGACCACCACUGACUGCUGUGUGAUCUCGGGAGGACCCACAAUCUCCCUAAGUCUUGGGUUUCUUCACCAAGAAUGAGGAUUUCCACCCAGGAUUGAUUGGAGGACCAGAAGUGGAAACCAAAGCGUGGUGAUGGGAAGGAACAUGGGUCCCGCUCUAUAGUGUCGGGACCAAAAGACGAGGUCUCCCUAUAGUGGCUGCCCACGGCAUGGUACUUUCUCUCCUUCUGAGAACAACACCAUUACAUAACUGUCUGGGACAGAGUCUCAGACCACAGAGAUUUCUUGCCGCCCAGCUGCACCAGACACACAUACCUGGGACGGAAUCCAGAAGAUGGCCACUUCCACGUCAACUGGGGAGCCCCAACACCUACCUUUCUCCUCUCCACCUCCACUAUGUGCCCUCUCUGCUACCGGGCAAAGCAUGCAACCUCCGAUGCUGCCUUACAUCAGAGAAGUAAUCUCUGGCCUGUCUGGUUCUCUGCCCUUAGAGAAUGUCCCAGCCAUCAUCUACCCUUUAUAAGAGUCCUCCAAGCAUUUCUCCCUUCUGCUUCUCCACCAGUGCGGCCUUUUCUGUGAAGUUCUCUAAUCAUGGGCUUCCCCAACACCCACCCCUCACCAUCAUCUUUACCUCAGAAAGUGAAAUAAAGAAAUUCAAGUGACUCAUCUAUCCACAUAGCCAGAAGGGAGAAGCAGAAAGUGCAGAAACCAUCAUAGAAUGAUGAGUAUGUCUGCAGGUCUCUUGGCUGCUUCAUACGAUCGGCUGAGCUUCAUGAAAGGGAAGACAGAAAAAUCUGAGUGGUGCCAUAUUAUCUCCAAAAGCGGCCGGCAUGAAAAUGAAGUACGACUUCUCCCUUCCUGAGACGUAAAGUGUCACCCUCCUCACGUGAUCAAACGAGGCUCAGCAGCUGUCUGGUCAGCCUUGGGAGAGAGCCUACCGGAUCAGCACCACCUAGCCUCAGGGGCCCUCCCCCAGCCAGGGAUACCCCCAUACUUCGGUGGUCCCCUCCCCAAGGCCUAGGACCCCAUUCCACGUCAGCCCUCUAGAAACAUAGCAGUGUCUACUGCAGACACUCAGCAGGGAGCCAAUAGGGUGUGCCCUGCUUGGUAAGCACAACCCACUGGCAGCACUGGGCUUGACAGACCCCAAAUUCUGUACUCUUCAGCUGACUAGAGGCCUGCUACACUAGUUUGCAUGAUGAGGGAGAAUUAGAGAGGCAGAGUCUGAGAGUCAGCCAGAGGGAGACUCUGUUCUAGUCCACUUUACAUAUCAGGCAUCUGCCUGAGAUUUCACUAGGAAGACACAAAAUAAACAAAACAAAAACAGGGUCCAUCACAAUUACAAACAAAAAGUAGGGAAUAGCCUUGAAAACCCCCACUGGUCUAGCCCAAUGUUUCUCAAACUUGAGACAAUCUCAGAUCUCCUAGAAGACUGGAUAAAACACAAAUGGCUGGGUCCCUCCCCAGGGUUGCUGCUUCAAAAUUUUGGGGUGAGGCUGAUGUUCUGGAUUUCUUACAAACUCUCAGCGACUCCAAUUUUGCUGUUCUGGGCAAUAAACUUUAAGAACUAUGAUAUAACCCAAUUUUCCUUUCAGAGACAAGAGAGGUGAUUCCUCCCAGGUGCCUUAGCCUGUUGGAGAUGAACCAGAGUUGAGCUCCAGUCUCUGACAGCCCCCAGGCUGCCUCUUCCACAGCUCGUCCAUCAUACCCCACACCUGCUCUGGCACAACAGUCCCCUGGGCAGAGAAGCCCACUUGGAUCUGGGCUUUCGAGUAGCUUCACCCUUGGGACAGUGAUCAUAAGGGAGCAUUCCUAACUCAGAGCCCAUGCUCAGCCCACCUGUGUUCCCAGUUUGGGAAGUGGCAUCAGGACCCCAGCACUUCAGGGUGCUGGGUUCCCCACACUGCACUUGUCUGAGCCUUUAGUCAUCAUGGAGCCUUCCAGGAUCACACUCCUGUAUUCCGUCCCCCAACACAUCUUAAUUGAGAGCUGCUGGGUGUUGGCCACUAACUUCUGAGAUCCAUCCAGAAACUUCUGAGGGACAGGUUCUUCCCUGCCCUUAAGGACUUCACAGGGAAGAAAAGUAAUCCUAAUCAAGUUGUUACCUCGUGAAGGACAAGGAAUGAGUAGCUCAGGGGAGUGAGGGAGAGGAGUGAGGAGGGUUUCAUCAGGCAGACAGGCAGGCAAAUGUUAGCAGACAAGGGACAUGGGGUAGAGAAGACAUGUUCAGUGCAAGGAUAAAAUUAUAAUAAACAUUGAUUGAAUAUCUACUAUACA